CCUACGGGGGGCAGCAGUAGGGAAUCUUCCACAAUGGGCGAAAGCCUGAUGGAGCAACGCCGCGUGGGUGAAGAAGGUCUUCGGAUCGUAAAACCCUGUUGUUAGAGAAGAAAGUGCGUGAGAGUAACUGUUCACGUUUCGACGGUAUCUAACCAGAAAGCCACGGCUAACUACGUGCCAGCAGCCGCGGUAAUACGUAGGUGGCAAGCGUUAUCCGGAUUUAUUGGGCGUAAAGGGAACGCAGGCGGUCUUUUAAGUCUGAUGUGAAAGCCUUCGGCUUAACCGGGGUAGUGCAUUGGAAACUGGCAGGCUUGAGUGCAGAAGAGGAGAGUGGAACUCCAGGUGUAGCGGUGAAAUGCGUAGAUAUAUGGAGGAACACCAGUGGCGAAAGCGGCUCUCUGGUCUGUAACUGACGCUGAGGUUCGAAAGCGUGGGGAGCAAACAGGAUUAGAUACCCCUGUAGUC
rnacentral:rRNA from 1 species